GUGCAGAGAGACAGCUGACAGCAGCCCUUCUGGUGACACACCUGCGUAACAUAAUGCCCUAUACGGGUCAUAAACAGAAAGACAGCCUUCCUCCACACUUUAAAAGAUGCUCUGUGCUUUGAGAUAUUGGUUUGUGGGAAAAAGAUAACUAGUAUCAGUUUAGAAGGUGGCUGAAUAUAUAUAGCAAAGAUUGUUACAAAAAAUCUAUUUCAAAUAAAUGUUGUUUGUUUGAAUAUAAAUACACAAAUGAAUUACUUGUUUGUGUGUGUGUGUGUGUGUGUGUGUGUGUGUGUGUGUGUGUGUGUGUGUGUGUGUGUGUGUAACAAGCUAAAUGUAAACUUUUGUUGCCUGCAUCAACAUGUUGUUUUUUCUCUAGGUGACAGGUCGAAUGCACCUGAUCUUCCUGUUUAAAUCACAAUAUGCAUUAACCCUCCAAGGAUGCACCUACUUUUUGGACAGUGUCCAGAUGCAAGCCGCCAAACUUCUCAGAUAAACAACAGAAUGAUGCAUUCGACCUGUGGCAAGAAGGCAACAAAGGGCACACCCGGCAAGAAAAAUCACAUUCGUCUUGUCAUGCAGUUCCACCUCCAUCUGGCUCUCAGAAUUCCUGUGUGUUUACAUUGAAUCGCCUCAGGAGAUGAACUCAUUGGACGCCAAUUUAUCACCAAUGGGAUGGAAAACAGACUUCAAGGCUUGUUUUUUACACCACCGCACAGCAGUUUCUGCCAAAAUAUGCCUUGAUUCUCAUAUAAUCACAAAGUAUGCACAGAACCAGUCGCAACAUGGCAUCGCGUGACUCAACCUCUGAAUGCAGCUAUUGAGAGCGAUGUGUUGGCAAGAAAUAAAAUCUUUGAUGACUUGAUCCACCAAGCAUCUCCAGACAGAUGUUUGAUUGACAAGUGUUAUCAUUGAGGGAGUUAAAUGUGGGCUACAGUUAGACGGGUCACUACACUCUGUAUUGCUACAAGCAAACUAGCCUUCUGUGGGAUUGCUAAUUCAGUCAUACUACGUGUGGAGCACUGGUUUUAGUAAUUGAACUGAAAUUAUAACUAGAAUAAUCCGGAAUCUUAAAAACAGACAGUUACAAAUAAUGAAUGUUUUAUCAAUGCUUAAUUCAUGUCAGACCAAUAUUAAGUAAUGCAUGUUUUACAUUUAGGACUUUAUUAAUUUUACAGUACCUUUAAAAAUACUAUAUUUUUUAUAAUCAUUUAUAUCAAUAUCAAUAUUAAAAAU
ensembl:lncRNA